rnacentral:misc_RNA from 1 species
GAUGAAGAACGCAGCGAAAUGCGAUAAGUAGUGUGAAUUGCAGAAUUCAGUGAAUCAUCGAAUCUUUGAACGCACAUUGCGCCCUAUGGUAUUCCGUAGGGCAUGCCUGUUCGAGCGUCAUUCAAACCUUCAAGCUCUGCUUGGUGUUGGGCGUCUGUCCUGCCUCACGGCGCGGACUCGCCUCAAAUCUAUUGGCGGCCGGCACGUUGGCUUCGAGCGCAGCAGAAACGCGAACUCGAGACCGGCGGAUCGGCUCCCAGAAGCUACCCCCAUGAAUUUGACCUCGGAUCAGGUAGGGAUACCCGCUGAACUUAAGCAUAUCAAUAAGCGGAGGA